AGAGUUUGAUCCUGGCUCAGGAUGAACGCUGGCGGCGUGCCUAACACAUGCAAGUCGAGCGAUCUUCUUCGGAAGAGAGCGGCGGACGGGUGAGUAACGCGUGGGUAACCUGCCUCAUACACAUGGAUAACAUACCGAAAGGUAUGCUAAUACAAGAUGAUAUAAGAGAUUCGCAUGGAUUUCUUAUCAAAGCUUUUGCGGUAUGAGAUGGACCCGCGUCUGAUUAGCUAGUUGGUAAGGUAAUGGCUUACCAAGGCGACGAUCAGUAGCCGACCUGAGAGGGUGAUCGGCCACAUUGGAACUGAGACACGGUCCAAACUCCUACGGGAGGCAGCAGUGGGGAAUAUUGCACAAUGGGCGAAAGCCUGAUGCAGCAACGCCGCGUGAGCGAUGAAGGCCUUCGGGUCGUAAAGCUCUGUCCUCAAGGAAGAUAAUGACGGUACUUGAGGAGGAAGCCCCGGCUAACUACGUG
rnacentral:rRNA from 1 species